CCUACGGGAGGCAGCAGUGGGGAAUAUUGGGCAAUGGGCGCAAGCCUGACCCAGCAACGCCGCGUGAAGGAAGAAGGCUUUCGGGUUGUAAACUUCUUUUCUCAGGGACGAAGAAAGUGACGGUACCUGAGGGAUAAGCCACGGCUAACUACGUGCCAGCAGCCGCGGUAAUACGUAGGUGGCAAGCGUUAUCCGGAUUUAUUGGGUGUAAAGGGCGUGUAGGCGGGAGCGCAAGUCAGAUGUGAAAACUCAGGGCUCAACCCUGAGCCUGCAUUUGAAACUGUGUUUCUUGAGUGCUGGAGAGGCAAUCGGAAUUCCGUGUGUAGCGGUGAAAUGCGUAGAUAUACGGAGGAACACCAGUGGCGAAGGCGGAUUGCUGGACAGUAACUGACGCUGAGGCGCGAAAGCGUGGGGAGCAAACAGGAUUAGAUACCCUUGUAGUC
rnacentral:rRNA from 1 species